rnacentral:rRNA from 1 species
UACGUAGGGUGCGAGCGUUAAUCGGAAUUACUGGGCGUAAAGCGUGCGCAGGCGGUUCGUGAUGUCUGAUGUGAAAGCCCCCGGGCUCAACCUGGGAAUUGCAUUGGAAACUAGCGGGCUGGAGUGUGGCAGAGGGGGGUGGAAUUCCACGUGUAGCAGUGAAAUGCGUAGAGAUGUGGAGGAGCACCGAUGGCGAAGGCAGCCCCCCUGGGCUAACACUGACGCUCAUGCACGAAAGCGUGGGGAGCAAACAGG